rnacentral:rRNA from 1 species
GGGAUUAGUGGCGACGGGUGAGUAACACGUGAGUAACCUGCCCUUGACUCUGGGAUAACCUCCGGAAACGGAAGCUAAUACCGGAUAUGACGCMCGGAGGCAUCUCCUGUGCGUGGAAAGAACUUCGGUCAAGGAUGGACUCGCGGCCUAUCAGGUAGUUGGUGAGGUAACGGCCCACCAAGCCUACGACGGGUAGCCGGCCUGAGAGGGUGACCGGCCACACUGGGACUGAGACACGGCCCAGACUCCUACGGGAGGCAGCAGUGGGGAAUAUUGCACAAUGGGCGCAAGCCUGAUGCAGCAACGCCGCGUGAGGGACGACGGCCUUCGGGUUGUAAACCUCUUUUAGUAGGGAAGAAGCGAAAGUGACGGUACCUGCAGAAAAAGCACCGGCUAACUACGUGCCAGCAGCCGCGGUAAUACGUAGGGUGCGAGCGUUGUCCGGAAUUAUUGGGCGUAAAGAGCUCGUAGGCGGUCUGUCGCGUCUGCUGUGAAAACCCGAGGCUCAACCUCGGGCCUGCAGUGGGUACGGGCAGACUAGAGUGCGGUAGGGGAGAAUGGAAUUCCUGGUGUAGCGGUGGAAUGCGCAGAUAUCAGGAGGAACACCGAUGGCGAAGGCAGUUCUCUGGGCCGUAACUGACGCUGAGGAGCGAAAGCGUGGGGAGCGAACAGGAUUAGAUACCCUGGUAGUCCACGCCGUAAACGUUGGGCGCUAGAUGUGGGGACCAUUCCACGGUUUCCGUGUCGCAGCUAACGCAUUAAGCGCCCCGCCUGGGGGAGUACGGCCGCAAGGCUAAAACUCAAAGGAAUUGACGGGGGGCCCGCACAAGCGGCGGAGCAUGCGGAUUAAUUCGAUGCAACGCGAAGAACCUUACCAAAGGCUUGACAUAUACGAGAAACGGCCAGAAAUGGGUCAACUUCUUUUGGACACUCGUAAAACAGGGUGGGUGCAUGGUGGUCGUCAGCUCGUGGUCGUGAGAUGAUGGAUUAGUCCCCGCAACCGA